UACAGAGGGUGCGAGCGUUGUUCGGAAUUAUUGGGCGUAAAGGGCGCGUAGGCGGCGCGGUAAGUCACCUGUGAAAUCUCCUGGCUCAACUGGGAGCUUGCAGGCGAAACUGCCGUGCUGGAGUGUGGGAGAGGUGCGUGGAAUUCCUGGUGUAGCGGUGAAAUGCGUAGAUAUCAGGAGGAACACCAAUAGCGAAGGCAGCUCGCUGGGACGUUACUGACGCUGAGGCACGAAAGCGUGGGGAGCAAACAGG
rnacentral:rRNA from 1 species